rnacentral:rRNA from 1 species
AAACUAACAAGGAUUCCCCUAGUAACGGCGAGUGAAGCGGGAAGAGCUCAAAUUUAAAAUCUGGCAGGCUACGCUUGUCCGAAUUGUAAUCUCGAGAAGUGUUUUCCGCGUUGGCCUGUGUACAAGUCCCUUGGAACAGGGCGUCAUAGAGGGUGAGAAUCCCGUCCUUGACACAGACACCCAAUGCUUUGUGAUACACUCUCAAUGAGUCGAGUUGUUUGGGAAUGCAGCUCAAAAUGGGUGGUAAAUUCCAUCUAAAGCUAAAUACUGGCGAGAGACCGAUAGCGAACAAGUACCGUGAGGGAAAGAUGAAAAGCACUUUGGAAAGAGAGUCAAACAGUACGUGAAAUUGUUGAAAGGGAAACGAUUGAAGUCAGUCGUGCCUGCCUAGUCUCAGCCUUUUGGUGUACUACUAGGUCGGCAGGUCAGCAUCAGUUUGGGAGGAUUAACAAGGGAGUUAGGAAUGUGGCAACCUCGGUUGUGUUAUAGCCUAGCUUCGCAUUGAUCUUGCUGGACUGAGGAACGCAGUGCGCCCGCAAGGGUUGGUCUUCGGACACAUUCGCACUUAGGAUGCUGGCAUAAUGGCUUUAAACGACCCGUCUUGA